CGGCGGACGGGUGAGUAACACGUGGAUAACCUACCUAUAAGACUGGGAUAACUUCGGGAAACCGGAGCUAAUACCGGAUAAUAUAUUGAACCGCAUGGUUCAAUAGUGAAAGACGGUUUUGCUGUCACUUAUAGAUGGAUCCGCGCCGCAUUAGCUAGUUGGUAAGGUAACGGCUUACCAAGGCAACGAUGCGUAGCCGACCUGAGAGGGUGAUCGGCCACACUGGAACUGAGACACGGUCCAGACUCCACGGGAGGCAGCAGUU
rnacentral:rRNA from 1 species